ACCCAGAUUGGAACCUUCUGCUUGGAUUUACGAUUUAAAAAGGUACCCUGGUCCAUGUUCCAAAAAUUUUGGAAUUCUGUAAUUAUUUCGGCACAUGAAAAAGCAUUCUUUGGAUCUAUCAGCAUCACGUAUCGAGAAACUAAAGCCGUAAUGUUCUGCAGAAAUCAUCGGAUAUGGGAAUAGGCGAAAAGGCACGGUGGCACAGAUUAGAUAAGCGCACAUGUAACCGCUGUAUCAAAAGACACCCAAGAUUCUUCGCGAUCGAUGUUCAACAAUUCUAUCCGAGUACUCAAAUCGGCGGGCUAAAUCAAGAUUAUGCUCGAUCGGUAACAGUAAAAAAAGACAGCUGUUCGCCUAAAUCAAUAACUAUAUAAGGUACGUGCAAUAUGAAAUCAAAUAAAGAAACAAGGGGAAAGAAAGAAGUAAUAAAACAGUAACUGCUAGUAAUAAAAACAGAGACGUUCGCUAGUAUCGUGCUUCGUUGCAACGGAAUCGACGAAAUUCAAUCGUCUUUAGCGAGGAGCCAGGUCAAG